rnacentral:rRNA from 1 species
GAUGAACGCUGGCGGCAUGCCUUACACAUGCAAGUCGAACGGCAGCACGGGUGCUUGCACCUGGUGGCGAGUGGCGAACGGGUGAGUAAUACAUCGGAACGUACCUUAUCGUGGGGGAUAACGCAGCGAAAGCUGUGCUAAUACCGCAUACGCCCUGAGGGGGAAAGCGGGGGAUCGCAAGACCUCGCGCGAUUAGAGCGGCCGAUGCCUGAUUAGCUUGUUGGUGGGGUAAAAGCCCACCAAGGCGACGAUCAGUAGCUGGUCUGAGAGGACGAUCAGCCACACUGGGACUGAGACACGGCCCAGACUCCUACGGGAGGCAGCAGUGGGGAAUUUUGGACAAUGGGGGCAACCCUGAUCCAGCAAUGCCGCGUGAGUGAAGAAGGCCUUCGGGUUGUAAAGCUCUUUUGUCAGGGAAGAAACACCGGCUCUAACACAGUCCGGGAAUGACGGUACCUGAAGAAGAAGCACCGGCUAACUAUGUGCCAGCCGCCGCGGUAA